rnacentral:rRNA from 1 species
UCCGCCUACGGGACGCAGCAGUGAGGAAUAUUGGUCAAUGGGAGAGAUCCUGAACCAGCCAAGCCGCGUGAGGGAAGACGGCCCUAUGGGUUGUAAACCUCUUUUGUCGGAGAACAAAACCCGGGACGUGUCCCGGACUGCGUGUAUCCGAAGAAAAAGCAUCGGCUAACUCCGUGCCAGCAGCCGCGGUAAUACGUAGGUGGCAAGCGUUGUCCGGAUUUACUGGGUGUAAAGGGCGUGUAGCCGGGAAGGCAAGUCAGAUGUGAAAUCUGGAGGCUCAACCUCCAAAUUGCAUUUGAAACUGU